rnacentral:tRNA from 1 species
GGGUGUGCCUCAGGGGUACACAGCACAUGCCUAGAAAGCGUGAGGCCUGGGUUCAAUCCCCAGCACAACCA